UGCCUGGCGGGCACUAGCGCGGUGGUCCCACCUGACCCCAUGCCGAACUCAGAAGUGAAACGCCGUAGCGCCGAUGGUAGUGUGGGGUCUCCCCAUGCGAGAGUAGGGAACUGCCAGGCAU
rnacentral:rRNA from 1 species